rnacentral:rRNA from 1 species
UGCCAGCCGCCGCGGUAAUACGGAGGGGGUUAGCGUUAUUCGGAUUCACUGGGCAUAAAGCGCGCGUAGGCGGCUCGGUCAGUCGGAGGUGAAAGCCCACAGCUUAACUGUGGAACUGCCCCCGAUACUGCCGAGCUUGAGUGCAGGAGGGGUGACUGGAACUCCAGGUGUAGCGGUGAAAUGCGUAGAGAUCUGGAGGAACACCAGAGGCGAAGGCGGGUCACUGGACUGCAACUGACGCUGAGGUGCGAAAGCUAGGGGAGCAAACAGGAUUAGAUA